ACGGCUUCAAACCGGUACCUCUUGCAYUAUGGCUUAACAAGAUUUUUGAGGGAAUUCCGAUUUCUAGAAAGAAAAAGAGCUAUAUGUGAACAAAAACGUGUGACACAACUCAAAUUGAUUUACCUAUAGAAGUGAAAAACUUGCCGAUUUUUCUGAUAGCUAGUUGAGAGAAAAAAGUGUAUUAGCACUAGACAAAAUAGAAUUUUCUUUAAAAAUUAUAAAAAAAUUUUAUUUUGAUCACAGUUUUUCAAGGACAAGCUUGAAAAAUAAAAGUAUUAAAAACGAAAUAAAAUAAAUAUAGGCUUAAAAGUUGCCAUUAUCAUAAGUGUUUUUUAACUCUAUCCAUUAACUAUUAUAUAAUAAUUCUUAGAUAAAUCUCUCCAUUUCAAAAAACUAUAAAUUUGAUAAAGUAUAUGUUAAGACGAGUAUUUCUAAAAAUAAAGUUUAAGUUAAAUCAAUUUUAAACUACCACCCCAAUAUCCUAUAUAAAUGUAAUAAAGGAACUCGGCAAAUAUAUGUUUCGCCUGUUUACCAAAAACAUCGCUCUUUGUUUCUAAAUAUAAAGAGUCGUGCCUGCCCAGUGAUAAUUUAAACGGCCGCAGUACCCUGACUGUGCUAAGGUAGCAUAAUCACUUGCUUUUUAAUUGAAAGCUAGAAUGAAUGGCUUGACGAAAACAUACCUGUCUCUUUUACAUUAACUAAAAACUAAUUUCUAGGUGAAAAAGCCUAGAUACCCUCAAAAGACGAAAAGACCCUAUCGAGCUUAAAAAUAAUGUUAAUUCAAUUUCUUAGUUAAAUUAAAAUUAAAAAUAAUUUUUAGUUGGGGCGACAAAAGAACACACAAAGCUUCUUUUAAUUUUAUAAACCCAUAGGUUUAAAAGAGCCAGUCAUACUGAAUAAAAGAAAAGUUACCGUAGGGAUAACAGCGUAAUUUCUUUGGAGAGACCAAAUUGAAAAAGAAGUUUGCGACCUCGAUGUUGGAUUAAAAAAUCUCUCUGAUGCAGCAGUCAGAGCAGAAGGUCUGUUCGACCUUUAAAUUUUUACAUGAUCUGAGUUCAAACCGGCGUAAGCCAGGUUGGUUUCUAUCUUUGAGAUAAUCGUUUAUAUUUUAGUACGAAAGGACCAAAUAUAAUAAAGAAUUU
rnacentral:rRNA from 1 species